AUCCAGCUGUAGAAACUCUGCCAGAUCAGAUUGGAGUCUGGUGCAGCCAUCUGAUUGGAAUCUGGUUCGCCAGACCUCAGUCAAAUCAUCCAACCCAUGCUAGCAUGGAAAGCAGACAUUAACUGAUGAUGAUGAUGAUAUAGCACUAAGGCUGGUUUGUCCAACUAAACCAUUCAAGGUGGUGCCCCAGCAUGGCCUCAGUCUAAUGACUGAAACAACUAACAGAAUCUUUUAUGUAACUUCAGCCUUUUGCCAGAUAUGUUUGGGAACAACAGAAGAUAUAAGAAAAUAUGUUUUGAAGAUGCUAAGUUUGACCAUCUUGGGGCAAAUGUAGCAGACAACUAGGGAAAUAACUGAUUGAAAUAGUACAAUGUUCAGUGAUCUUAAAGCUGACAUCCAGCUAGCUUAUUGUGUAUCAGGUGAACACGAUAAGUAAAGUGCAUUUAGUUGGUUAUGAUUACUUCAGAGAUCCAGUGAUUUUACAAAUCUUGCAUACUCCUAGAGGUACCUGUACACUGGUUUGAGAACCCCGUCACUUAAAUAGAUCUAUGCUGCUCAGAGCAUGUUUUUCUGCAAUUUUGUGUAUUAAUGUUUGAACACCCAACACACACAUAUAUGUAUAGAUAUACACUCAUAUAUAUGCAUACAUAUAUAUAGGCACACGCACAUACAUAUAUAUGUGUUAUUCAUUUUAUAUAUAUAUAUGUAUAAUUUUCAGUUAUCUAAAAUUGAAGCUUUACUCAGUAGCUAUUCUGAGGGUCUUGUUCCUGUCCUUCAUAGUGAAUAAUGGGAAAUGUUUCACUUUAUAUAAUUUAUGCAUUGGUAUUGCUAUAUGUAUGUGAUUGUAAGCAUUACAGGUGUUAUUUUUAUGCUUGAAUAUACAAAUGGAAGAA